UACGAAGGGGACUAGCGUUGUUCGGAAUUACUGGGCGUAAAGCGCACGUAGGCGGAUUGUUAAGUGAGGGUGAAGCCCAGGCUCAACCCUGGAACUGCCUCUCAUACUGGCAAUCUUGAGUUCGGAAGAGGUAAGUGGAAUUGCGAGUGUAGAGGUGAAAUUCGUAGAUAUUCGCAGGAACACCAGUGGCGAAGGCGGCUUACUGGUCCGAAACUGACGCUGAGGUGCGAAAGCGUGGGAGCAA
rnacentral:rRNA from 1 species